AAAAACUAGUUAAAAAAAAACGCGAUUGCAAUCGCAUUGCAUUGAGACGGAUUCAUAUGUUUUUAGAGACAUUUACUAUGAUAAUUCUGGGAAAUCCCUUAUCUUUCUAUUGUGUUGCUAGUGUUUUAGUGAGUUUAACAUUACCUGAUAGUCGGAAGUGUACGUCCACGGUCGGGUGUUGACGCGCAGUGUCUCGGGGAAGUCGACGGCAGCUGUAUGGACGGCACAAGCUCAGCUGAUAUCCGGGUCAUGGGGGUGCUGGAGCUUAUCUCAGCUGCAUUUGGGUGAAAGGCCACCCUGGACAAGUCACCACCUCAUCACAGUGGAUGAAGAGCUCUGGGAACAUGAUCAGUGAAUGAAGACAUGUUGGAAGAAGCAUCGUGAAAAAGCUGCUACCAUUUGAUUAUAGAAAUAAUUAAUAUUUCAGGAAUUAUAUAGAAUUGAUUGGAUAAAAAAAUAAACCUUUUGAAUGAUACUUCAGCAGAUCCCAACCAUCGUUUGCCUCUAAAAAGACAUUCAAGAACUCAAAGAAAUAAACAAUGUUAUAGAUAAAAUGAUCCAAACUACAGUACAUGUACCCUUCCAUGAUAAACUAGAACAUUACUCAGUGGAGUAAUGGCCUCCCCCAAUGUCGAACAAUUCUUAUUUUGAAACUUCUGGAGCUGGAUCCAGAUCUUGAUCAUCAUCAAAAAAUAAUAAAUGUCUCCUGAUCAUCUUAUACCAAAUUUCCUUCUAAAUUUUUUACAGUGUUUUGAGUUGGACCAAUAAAAAAAUGCAUACAUCGAG